GUGAGCUCGAGCAAAGACAAACAAACAGGUAAGUUUUACUUUGAAAUGACAAAAACUCAAAUAAAAUCAUGAUGUAGAAAAUCAAACCAUGUGAUGGUUUGUUAGCUAAAUUGUGUGCACCCAAAUUAGAAAACAACAAAAUGUGAUAAAAGUGAAUUUUAGUGAAUUUUUUGUCUGAACUGAAACAGGUGGUGGUUGAGGCCUCCACAGUGUCCACCUCUGAGAGUUUAAGACUUAAGUGGAUGUAGGCCCAGUCUCUUUGACGUCAAUCGUUGGUUUCCAAAGAGGCGUCAGCCAAUCAUGUUUCUGUACUGAAAACACUGACUGGAUGUUAUUUUGGAUCAAACUAGAAACAGACAAAGUGACGAUGCAUGUUUUUUUUUCUGCUGAAGGGUCGAAUAUUUUUAACAUGGGGCCUAAUGGGAAUUCCUAGGCUUUUUUUGUAGCUAGCUCCCAGUGGACAUUUGAGGAAUUACACCUUCAUACUGUUUUUAUUUUUUUUUACUGUUUUACCAAUUUCGCAGGGUUUCUGCGGGUUCAACAAGUCAAGUUUAAGUCUUUUAAGAUCAUAAUGAACGUAAUUAAAGAUCCAUUUUACAUCCAUACUGGCAAAAAAAUACAACAGACAAGAAGAGAAACUGAAACAUUUUAUAAUAACUUAAAUUCAGUAACAUUAAUACGUUUUUAAGACCUUUCAAAUUUGUAUUUAAGGCAUUUUAUGAGAUUUUAAGAGAAUUUUAGACAUUUAAAGGCCUUAAAUUCAAAUUAUUGAAUUUUAGACUUUUUAAGACAUUUUAAGACCCAGCGGAAACCCUGUUUAAAUGAAACAGCUUUGAACUUUUACAUGUUAUAAACUUUUCCUGAUUGUCUGCUUAAACUGUGUGACAGCUACAUGGAAAAAGAAGGACUCGGGCAUUUAGGAUGAAUUAAAAGUCAAGUUUUAAAGCGUACCAUACUGAUUAAAGUGUAUAAAUGAUACAAAGGGCUGCGUAAAUUAACUUUUAUGUAAUAUCUCAGUGAAGAAGUACAGAGAGCCUGUUAACCAAGUAUCUCUUCUCCAUUAUCACGAGUUCUUUCUUGCUCAGAAGUACUAUUAUAACUCAAAGUAUUUCCUUUUGAAAGAUAAACCGUCUUUAAUAAAGUGGUCAGCCAAUAAUUUAAAUCUUAAUUUUUCAGUUACAUGAUGGCGGCGCAAUGAUUACUCAUUUACUGCCUGUUCACACACUCAUUACUUUGCUUUCUGCUUCACUUCACCACUUAUUCACAGCCUCAGCAGCAGCUCCAACGUUAUUUAUUUCUGUAACUGAAGAAAUGUUUGGUCCACUCGACGCCCUCUGAAUGUAAAGCUGCUCUGGAGGUCUGAUGGAAGGCACCGCGCGACGCCGUGACGCCAACCCGGACUGUCAAUGCCCCGAGUCAAGGCCCCAAGGAUGAAAGAGCAAGACGCUCAAAGCCGGGAGCAUUAAUUAUUCACAAAGGAGACAGUCAUCUGGAGCAGGUAAAUACGAUUUGCUAUUCUGCUCUUGCUUUAUGCUACAGUUAAAGCUGGAGGGAGGGCGAACGCUCAUUAACAUGCACUCCUUCACUCCUUCACACGAUAAAAACCUGAAACAAACACGAUUUAAGAAGCUGAAUGAAAAAACACACAGAGGGAGGGAGAGAGAGAGAGAGAGAGAGAGAGCUCUGAAACACUCUGUAAGUGUGAACUGUUUUCAUAAACACACUCAAACUGACAGACAGACGAACACGUUUUCCCUCUAGAGAUCAAAUUUACUCUGAAUAUUUAAUCAAAUCUGACAAAUGAAAAAAACACCUAAUUAAUCUUAUGUCAUCAGACUCAUCUUGCACUCAUACAUAUGUGUUUUUUACAGGUUUAUUCUAAUCACAUCCAAUUAAAAUGUACUAGUAACAGUAUUAUUGAUGUGUUGUUAUUGUAGAUGUAAAAAUGCUGCUCGCCCACACACUCAUAAACCUCUUUUUACACCUGGAUUCACAAGUCGAACACAUCUCUGUUUUCAUCUUUUUACUUAUUAAAGUUAUUAUUUUAUUCUACGUGUCAAUUUAAUGGUUUUUAAUUUGUGAUAUUUAAACAUUAUUCCCUUUCCACCUCGUCUUGUACAGUUUCCUAUCUAUCCUGACUUGUUUUUGUGAAUUUUUUUAUGGAUUUGUCUGAAUAUUUUCAUUGUUUCCAUUUUAUUCUAAUGUUAAAUCAUAAAGUUUAUUUUCAUAGCACCUUACAACAUUCGGAAAGAUGAACCAAGUGCUUUACACAGUCAAAUACACAAAUACAGGAACAGAAAAUACAUGACAAGUGACAAAUGUCAGAGGAUAUCAUAACAAUAAAAAGGUAAGAGAACACAGAAACGAUCAAAUAGCAAAUAACCCUGGAUAUUAAAAGCCUGUUUAAAUAGGUGAGUUUUAAGAUGUGUUUUAAAGAGUGACAGGUGAUUGAUAAAAAGAAGUUCAGGGGGGAGAGUUAAAGACUUUACAAUCAUUAAAGAUGGACUGUAGGACUCUAUUUUAUUUAAAAGUCUAAAACGAAAACUUAUUCAGCACAAUCACUUCACAUUAACCUUAAAGCCUUAAAUUUAAAAGGUUUAAAAUUUACUCAGUUUAUAAAUGCAGAUUUAGGUAAAAAGAAAAAAGCUAAACUUCAUCUCAGUAGGUUUAAAUGUUGUCAAAAAUUCAGUCUGCUGGACUUUUAAAAACACGUGAUCACAUUAUGUCAUGAUUUAUUCUUGUAGUUUUGUUUCCUGUUUGAUGUGUUUUAUUCUGAAGGUCAGUUUUCACUGUUUCCUGUUUUACUUUUACUUUUUUUUACUUUACUUUUUUCCCCUCUUAGUUUGUCUGGUCUAGUUUGACUUCCUGUGUUUUCCCUCAUAGUUAUUCUCUGUCUCUUGUUGCUCGUUCCCCUGUGUAUUUAGUCCCAGAUUGUUGUCUAUCCGACCUCACACUCUCAUGGUUUCUCAGAACCUUCUUGUUGGAUUUCUACCUCAAGUGUUUUGUUUGGUUUAUCUGGAUUUAGAUUUUUCUGUUUCUGAAGUAACUUUUUAUUGUUUCAGGUUUAGUCUUCUGUUUGAUAAAACUUUUUUAAUUCUGCACGUGAAUCCUCCCUCUUUGCUUGACACAUAAGUCGAGGGUGACCAUAUGUCCUCUGUUACCCGGACAUGUCCUCUUUUUAUGGGGGCUUUCCGGCCUUGUCCGGGGGGAGUUUAUAAAAUCCUUCAAAUGUCCUUUUGUAUGAAAGUUUUGAGUUCAUGUUGCGUGGACUAACAGAGUUAGUAGUGCAUAAAAAACACUCAACCGACUCGAAAAACUCUCAAAAUUUACUACAUGUGACUCUGUGACUCCGCCCCCCGUAGUCAUGUCCUCUUUUCAGGGAUUCAGAAUAUGGUCACCCUGCAUGAGUCCGUCAGACCAAGUUAAACUUCUCAAAGUCGGACUUGUAGAUUUUGAUCGUGCAGUUUUGUGCAGAUGCCCGAUUUGGAUUUUAACUCGCUAAAGUCUGCUUCACAUGCUCCAUUUUUGCUCGUUGAACUUUGACCCAUAAGUUCAAUGGUACAAAUAUGUUGCUAGGAAGUUGGCUAAUAUAUAAAACCUCGACAGAAGAGACAAUAAAGCUGUCUUAUGUUAUGUACAAAGGUACAGAGCUGUAAAGUUGACAGCUUAUUUAUCAUUCCAUGUGCGGCUCUUUAGACGCGUGUUUGUUGAUUGUUUUGUUACAUGACAUUGUAGUGCAAUCAGGAGACAGUAGGUGGUAGUAAUGAGCUAAAAAGAGGAAUACUGCCACCUACUGGAAAAGAGACAUACUUUUACGAGUAAACGGUAAAGAAACCUAAAAUUAAAUCGGUGUUUAUUUUAUUCCUUCAAGUAUUUUCGAGAUGGAGAAAGUUUCCUCCUUCGACAGCAGUGAUGUGUAAAUUAUGUGAGUGCGCUUUUGAAUAUGUAUACAAGUAUGUGUGUGUCCCUGAGUGUGUCCCUGAGUGUGUGUGUGUGUAAGUGUGAGCUGCUUGAGUUCCUGCGUGGGCUGGAAGAUCUCAGCAUGGCUGUGACAAAACGCUCCACCUAAACGCCUCUACGGCUUAUCUUCCUCUGGGGAUUACAAAGCAUCGCAAAUAAACGCAGAGCAGUGUAACUGACAACAGUCACAUUACUGUGGCACCACGGGCGAUAAGGCGCCGUGUGCACCGCAGGCAGGCGAGUGUGUGUGUGUGUGUGUCCUCUCUGCAGCUAUCUGACAGUGAAACACAGAGAAAUGAGGGGUUUGGAGGAGAAUCAUUGCUGUGUGAAAUCUGUGUGAUCUGACUAUUACAGGACAAACUUCACUGAGAGCCGCUUUGAAAGAAUAUCACAGGAGCUCCUCAGUCAAAGCCGAGGAGCUCCUCUGCUGGAGGGGCUAAACUGUGAAGUAGGUUCAGAGUAGUCAGGCUUUGUCAACCUCCAGUCUGAGAUAAGGGCUCCAACAAAAGGAGGUUAUCAGCUCCUUUUAUUCCGGUCGUCCUGUUUAAACUUUCUCUGAGGAGUUUGAACUGAUUAUAAAAUCGACUGACGCUGAUGCUGCAAGAGCAACAAGACGAUCUAUCCACUUGGUGAUUGAUAGAGCAGGAUCUUAGCAUGUUUGAGACAAGAUUGUGAGGAAUGAGGGUCUGCUACACACAAGUUCCCCACAGGAUCUUUAAGGCUCUUUGCAUCAUUUGACACUUUCUCCAUGCAAAUUCUUACUAUAAGCCAUCAGCAUGCAACAGCUACCAAAGUCCAUGUUGCUCCAAAUUCAGCUGAGAAGAAAAGCUGCAGAGAAUCAGUCAAAAUGAAGGACUUGUGCACAUUUUAACUUUUGAUGCAUUUGUAGUGUCUCCAAAUUUAGGGUUUAGGAGAUUUUGUGGUCAACAGGGACAGCAGGUCUGCAAAAGUGCAAACAAAACCGCUAUCAGGAGAAACGUGCUGCAAAUGUAGGAGCUACGCAGCUUCAAAACAGGAGCAAAGAGUCACAUAGAGAGGCACUGCAAAUGGAAAAACACUCAGAGGAAGCGUUUGUUGGACACCAAAAAGUACCUCCAGGCUCACAGAGGUUAUAUGUAAUGAUAUAUUAUCAUUAGGGCUGUCAGAAGAUUAUUUUUCAAAUCGCGAUUAAUCGCAGAAUCUUUAUAGUUAACUGCGAUUAAUCGUGGUUUGAAUUUCAUGUUUAAAACUCUGUUAUUUUGCAUCUCAAGGCAGUUUUAAGCCCAUUAUUGUCAAGUAUUUCUGACCAGAGUCUUAAUUUGGAAUCAAAUAAACCUGUUGUAUUCUUUCAAAAAAGAGCCAUGUAGACCAACUUAACACAAUGUCUACGUGAAAUACAAAUAUGUUUUCAAAUGAAAAAAGUGCGAUGUAGACCCACUUGUCUAAUUCAAAAAUACGGCUUAAAGUGCUUCAGUGUGGCCAUGGAACUAUGACUUAGGAAAACACCUCUACAAAAGAAGUUAAAGGGAUAGUUUGUUGUUCUCCAGAAGCUCAAUUAUAGAAAGGAAAUUUAACUGAUUUCAAGAAACUUCAACCCAAACAUUGAUGUGGGUGUAAGUGUUCGCUCUAUUUAGACAUCUCACAGUCAGUUUUGCAUUAUCCUCAGAUAUGAAGACGUGUCUCUCGGGCGUCUGCAAUCCUGAUGCAUGUAGUAAUCACACGCUGGGACCCCUUUAACUCAAAAUCACCCCCUCUCUGCCCAUUACUGACCAGGACACGUCCUUAAUGAAGGUUAUUACAGCCUGUUUCUGACAAACGAAGGCCGUGAUCCUCUGCAGAGUCAGGGAGGGUAUUUUACAUGCGGCUAAAUCUAAUACAGGCUCUUGUGCUUCGAUGAUAAUUAACAUUUUCACACAGCCGAGGGGGCUUCAUCCUCUCAGUAGGAGGCCCCUUUUUAAGCUCUUACCCAAAUCUCCAACCUCCUCUUUGUCCAGAGUUCUCUCCGCUCGUAUAAAAUAACUUUAUGAGGCGGUUUUAACUUUAGAGACAGCCCAAUAAAAUCAAACUCCAAAGAGUGAUGUAUGUAACCCUUCAAACUAGGAUCCUCUACAGCUCUUCUCAUCUGAAAAUUGAGCUGCUUUAAGUAAUCCUCGUGUCUGCUCUGUUACCUUACGCGGCCGCUGCUGUUUCUGUGGAGAGAGGGGAAAUAACAGCCAGCUGCUCCAGAGGUGGAUCUGGGCCACUUCCAGCUGAGAAUGUGUGCAAUCACAUGAAUGUGAAGCUGCAGGACGACAUGCAUGCACGCUCAGCAAAACCUCCGACUGGGUGAGGAAACGUCAGGGGAAAGAAAUGAAGGAAACUCUGCUCUGUGCUGAAGGUUCCUACCAAUUACGCUGGAUUAUAUACCCUUGGAUUACCGUCUCAAGUGUGGCUGAAAUGCCUUGAAGCAGAUCCUAGUUAAGCCAAUGCAGCUUUUAGACCUGAUUCUUCUUUUUUCUUUUCUUUUGUAAUUUAUUUAAGCUGUUGGAUUCGUCCUAAGGAGGGUCAAACGCGGACACGGGUUCACAGAAAGGCUGAUUUUAUUUGUCAGUGUUUGAACCCAAAGGGAGAAGUCAGCAAAUUCUGCCGCUCUCCUUCAGCUGGCAAAGUGGGAAAAACACAGCUGGAGUUUGUUGAGAGCAGCAGCAGUCGGGGUUGAAGUUGCUCCCCUCAGCACUUCAAAUCUCCAAAGACAUUAUUGGAAUUGCGCACAACUGUGAAAAGAAAUGUCCCGCUCUUUUGAUUGAAAUGGAUUUCUCCUUUCGCUGUUGUAUUAUUUCCACAGAAGCACAGAUCUGCUGAUGGUUUGUUUUCUUGUGGUGACGCUUGUCCUGACACGAGGGCACGGGGAGACAUGAGGCGACUGAAGCAGCGGGAGAUGAGAGGGUGCAACAACAACAAAAAAACACAAGCAGAAAUAAACCAAAACUGGGAAAUCUCAUUUACAAGAGCUUAAAAUAACAAGGAUUUCAUCAUCUGCAUUUGUGCAC